rnacentral:rRNA from 1 species
ACUACGGGAGGCAGCAGUGAGGAAUAUUGGGCAAUGGCCGGAAGGCUGAACCAGCCAAGUCGCGGGAGGGACGACGGCCCUAUGGGUGGUAAACCUCUUUUAUAAGGGAAGAAGAAAUGCUACGUGUAGCAUGAUGCCUGUACCUUAUGAAUAAGCAUCGGCUAACCCCGUGCCAGCAGCCGAGGUAAUACGGGGGGUGCGAGCGUUAGCCGGAUUUAUUGGGGUUAAAGGGUGCGUAGGCGGUUUUUUAGGUUGUGGUUAAACGUCGGGGCUUCACCUUGAUUUGACAUUGAUACUGUAUGACUCGAGUUCAGGCGAGGUAGGCGGAAUGCGUUGCGUAGCGGUGAAAUGCUUAGAUAUCACUUAGAACUCCGAUGGCGAAGGCAGCUUACCAGACUGCGACUGACGCUGAGGCACGAAAGCGUGGGUAGCGAACAGGAUUAGAUACCCCUGUAGUC